rnacentral:rRNA from 1 species
UGAGCAAUCUGCCCUUCUCUUCGGAAUAAGCGUUGGAAACGACGUCUAAUGCCGAAUACGACCUCCUUUCGCAUGAUCGGAGGUGGAAAGCUCCGGCGGAGAAGGAUGAGCUCGCGGCCUAUCAGCUAGUUGGUGUGGGUAAUGGCCCACCAAGGCGACGACGGGUAGCCGGCCUGAGGAGGGUGACCCGGCCACACGUGGGACUGAGACACGGCCCAGACCUCCGUACGGGGAGNAGCG